CUAAGUUUGAUGGCGACCGGCGCACGGGUGAGUAACACGUAUCCAACCUGCCGAUGACUCGGGGAUAGCCUUUCGAAAGAAAGAUUAAUACCCGAUGGCAUAGUUCUUCCGCAUGGUAGAACUAUUAAAGAAUUUCGGUAUGGGAUGGGGAUGCGUUCCAUUAGUUAGUUGGCGGGGUAACGGCCCACCAAGACAACGAUGGAUAGGGGUUCUGAGAGGAAGGUCCCCCACAUUGGAACUGAGACACGGUCCAAACUCCUACGGGAGGCAGCAG
rnacentral:rRNA from 1 species